rnacentral:rRNA from 1 species
UACAGAGGUCCCGAGCGUUGUUCGGAUUCAUUGGGCGUAAAGGGUGCGUAGGCGGCUAGGUAAGUCAGAUGUGAAAUUCCAGGGCUCAACCUUGGAACUGCAUUUGAUACUGCCUGGCUUGAGUACUGGAGAGGAAACUGGAAUUCACGGUGUAGCAGUGAAAUGCGUAGAUAUCGUGAGGAAGACCAGUGGCGAAAGCGAGUUUCUGGACAGUUACUGACGCUGAGGCACGAAGGCCAGGGGAGCAAACGGG